rnacentral:rRNA from 1 species
AUUGAACGCUGGCGGCAGGCCUAACACAUGCAAGUCGAGCGAGCGGCGGACGGGUGAGUAAUGUCUGGGAAACUGCCUGAUGGAGGGGGAUAACUACUGGAAACGGUAGCUAAUACCGCAUACCAUCAGAUGUGCCCAGAUGGGAUUAGCUAGUAGGUGGGGUAACGGCUCACCUAGGCGACGCUCCCUAGCUGGUCUGAGAGGAUGACCAGCCACACUGGAACGGAGACACGGUCCAGACUCCGACGUGAGCCAGCAGGGGGGAAUUUUGCACAAUGGGCGCAAGCCGGAGGCGUCCAUGCCGCGUGUUGGAAGAAGGCUUUCGGUUUUUAAAGCACGUUCAGCGGGGAGGCGUUACCCGCAGAAGAAGCACCGGCUAACUCCGUGCCAGCCGCCGCGGUAAUAC